rnacentral:rRNA from 1 species
UGGUCGUCGUUGGUGAGAGAGGAGGGACGUAAGAUGAUGUCAGUAAGGGGGGGGGGAACGGGACGCGAGGGGACAUGAAAAUUAACCAUAACAGACCGUGUUGGUAAGGGUACUUCGUUGAGGCCGGGGUUUAGUGUGGAGUAUGUCACAGGGGUAUAGUGCGAAUGGAGUGUUGCCCAUGGAUGGCCCGCCCAAUUCUGGGGGGAGAGAGGAUUUCCAAAUGGAGAAUUGAAGAGAACGCGGUGAGGAGAGGUUUGGGUAGAAAUUUGUGUUGAGAGAUGUCGCAGAGAAUGUGUGGCGUGACGGUUCCACCAGAAGCCAGGCUAAUACGGCCGCAGCGCGGAAUAGUAGUGGCAGCGUAUCCGGAUUAUUGGCGUAAGCGAGGCAGCGGUUUUUAAUCUGAUGAAAGCCUCGGUUAACCGGGAAGCGCAUCGAAACUGGAAACUUGAGGCAGAAGGGACAGGGAACUCCAUGUGUAGCGUGAAAUGCGUAGAUAUAGGAAGAACACCAGUGGCGAAGGCGGCUGUCUGGUCUGUAACUGACGCUGAGGCUCGAAAGCAUGGGUAGCGAACAGGAUUAGAUACCCUGGUAGUCCAUGCCGUAAACGAUGAAUGCUAGGUGUUGGAGGGUUUCCGCCCUUCAGUGCCGCAGCUAACGCAUUAAGCAUUCCGCCUGGGGAGUACGACCGCAAGGUUGAAACUCAAAGGAAUUGACGGGGGCCCGCACAAGCGGUGGAGCAUGUGGUUUAAUUCGAAGCAACGCGAAGAACCUUACCAGGUCUUGACAUCUUUUGAUCACCUGAGAGAUCAGGUUUCCCCUUCGGGGGCAAAAUGACAGGUGGUGCAUGGUUGUCGUCAGCUCGUGUCGUGAGAUGUUGGGUUAAGUCCCGCAACGAGCGCAACCCUUAUGACUAGUUGCCAGCAUUUAGUUGGGCACUCUAGUAAGACUGCCGGUGACAAACCGGAGGAAGGUGGGGAUGACGUCAAAUCAUCAUGCCCCUUAUGACCUGGGCUACACACGUGCUACAAUGGAUGGUACAACGAGUUGCGAGACCGCGAGGUCAAGCUAAUCUCUUAAAGCCAUUCUCAGUUCGGACUGUAGGCUGCAACUCGCCUACAGGGAGUGAGCAUCGCUAGUAAUCGGGGAUCGGCACGACCGCGGUGAAAUACGUUCCCGGGCCUUGUACACACCGCCCGUCACACCAUGAGAGUUUGUAACACCCGAAGCCGGUGGCGUAACCCUAUUAGGGAGCGGAGCCGUAUAAAGGUGGUGCGAAGAUGAUUAGAGGUGUAAUGGUUAG